rnacentral:rRNA from 1 species
GACGAACGCUGGCGGCGUGCUUAACACAUGCAAGUCGAACGGUAAGGCCCUUCGGGGUACACGAGUGGCGAACGGGUGAGUAACAUGUGGGUGAUCUGCCCUGCACUUCGGGAUAAGCCUGGGAAACUGGGUCUAAUACCGGAUAGGACCCUGGGAUGCAUGUCCUGGGGUGGACAGCUUUUGCGGUGUGGGAUGGGCCCGCGGCCUAUCAGCUUGUUGGUGGGGUGAUGGCCUACCAAGGCGACGACGGGUAGCCGGCCUGAGAGGGUGACCGGCCACACUGGGACUGAGAUACGGCCCAGACUCCUACGGGAGGCAGCAGUGGGGAAUAUUGCACAAUGGGCGCAAGCCUGAUGCAGCGACGCCGCGUGAGGGAUGACGGCCUUCGGGUUGUAAACCUCUUUCAGCACCGACGAAGCGCAAGUGACGGUAGGUGCAGAAGAAGGACCGGCCAACUACGUGCCAGCCGCCGCAGUAA